rnacentral:rRNA from 1 species
ACGCUAGCUACAGGCUUAACACAUGCAAGUCGAGGGGAAACGGCAUUUAGUGCUUGCACCGAAUGGACGUCGACCGGCGCACGGGUGAGUAACGCGUAUCCAACCCUCCCAUAACUAAGGAAUAACCUGCCGAAAGGCAGACUAAUACCUUAUGUAAUCCUUUGAUGGCAUCAGAUUAGGAUAAAAGAUUUAUCGGUUAUGGAUGGGGAUGCGUCUGAUUAGCUUGUUGGCGGGGUAACGGCCCACCAAGGCAACGAUCAGUAGGGGUUCUGAGAGGAAGGUCCCCCACAUUGGAACUGAGACACGGUCCAAACUCCUACGGGAGGCAGCAGUGAGGAAUAUUGGUCAAUGGACGGAAGUCUGAACCAGCCAAGUAGCGUGCAGGAAGACGGCCCUAUGGGUUGUAAACUACUUUUGUAUGGGGAUAAAGUCAAUCACGUGUGAUUGUUUGCAGGUACCAUACGAAUAAGGACCGGCUAAUUCCGUGCCAGCAGCCGCGGUAAUACGGAAGGUUCGGGCGUUAUCCGGAUUUAUUGGGUUUAAAGGGAGCGUAGGCCGGAGAUUAAGUGUGUUGUGAAAUGUAGACGCUCAACGUCUGACUUGCAGCGCAUACUGGUUUCCUUGGGUACGCACAACGUUGGCGGAAUUCGUCGUGUAGCGGUGAAAUGCUUAGAUAUGACGAAGAACUCCGAUUGCGAAGGCAGCUGACGGGAGCGCAACUGACGCUGAAGCUCGAAGGUGCGGGUAUCGAACAGGAUUAGAUACCCUGGUAGUCCGCACAGUAAACGAUGGAUGCCCGCUGUUGGUACCUAGUAUCAGCGGCUAAGCGAAAGCAUUAAGCAUCCCACCUGGGGAGUACGCCGGCAACGGUGAAACUCAAAGGAAUUGACGGGGGCCCGCACAAGCGGAG